rnacentral:rRNA from 1 species
CUCCCUGAUGUUAGCGGCGGACGGGUNAGUAACACGUGGGUAACCUGCCUGUAAGACUGGGAUAACUCCGGGAAACCGGGGCUAAUACCGGAUGGUUGUUUGAACCGCAUGGUUCAAACAUAAAAGGUGGCUUCGGCUACCACUUACAGAUGGACCCGCGGCGCAUUAGCUAGUUGGUGAGGUAACGGCUCACCAAGGCGACGAUGCGUAGCCGACCUGAGAGGGUGAUCGGCCACACUGGGACUGAGACACGGCCCAGACUCCUACGGGAGGCAGCAGUAGGGAAUCUUCCGCAAUGGACGAAAGUCUGACGGAGCAACGCCGCGUGAGUGAUGAAGGUUUUCGGAUCGUAAAGCUCUGUUGUUAGGGAAGAACAAGUACCGUUCGAAUAGGGCGGUACCUUGACGGUACCUAACCAGAAAGCCACGGCUAACUACGUGCCAGCAGCCGCGGUAAUACGUAGGUGGCAAGCGUUGUCCGGAAUUAUUGG